rnacentral:tRNA from 1 species
GAAGAUUAAAAAUCUUCUCAAGGUA